ensembl:lncRNA novel transcript, antisense to DCHS2
UUAUGUUCUGGGAUUUACAACUUCAGGGAGACAAAGGAAACUCCAGCUCAUCUCCCACAUCAUUGAUUGAGAGGACCAUUUUCUGACUGUCUGCACACGUUUCCUAUACUACCCUUUAAUGCAACAAUGGGAUGAAGAGAUGAAGACUUCUAGCAGGCUACCUCAGAAAGGUUGCUGACCAAAGGCUGUAUGGACCAAAAAGUCAUAACACCACCCUGGAUGAAAGGACAUUUACCUAAGGAAUUACCCGCUCUCAAUUCUUCCCAGGUGCAUGUAGUAUAGAUUAAAUAAGGUGGUUGUAUGGCAACAGAGACAUUAUUAGAAACAUUCUUCUUGAAGUUUGACAACAAAGCAGUAGAUGUGUAUCUACUACAGAGUUGUUAGUGAAAAAAGGUAUGUUUGAAGUAAUCAAUUGGUAUUCAUUUUAAACAGUAAUGGUCUUACUGAAGCUAAGUUUAAUACAUGCUGUGUUUGGAAGUAAUUUCUUUACCACUGUG